GUCAGUAUGGCCAAGUGGGGUAAGACACUGCAUUAAGGUUGCAGUCUCCCCUGAAGAUGUGGGUUUGAAUCCCACCUGUGAUA
rnacentral:tRNA from 1 species